rnacentral:lncRNA from 1 species
UUUCUGAGAGUAACAUGUUGGUUACAAAUGAUAAUGGGUGAAAAAAAUAAACAAGUAUGUUGUUGUUGUUCAAGUUUGUAUAAUUGAUGUAUGAUUAUUCUUGAAAGAAAGGGUCAAAUGAUGUGGGGGUUGGAGAGAAGCGAAGAAGAAGUGUUGGAUUAUCUGGGUUUUUUUUCUGGGUAUAAUUGAUGAAGUUGUACGAGGAUUAUGAAGAAGAAGAAGGAAUAUGAAUAAAGGGAAAAUUAAUUAGAUGUUUUUUGUUCACCAUAAGAUAAAGUGGAUCUUCAUGAUCUAACAAUCCUCUUUUUUAAAAUUAGAUCGGGCGGUAUAAAUUAAAAAUAUUAAUAGAGUCUAUGGUGAACCACUUUUAAGGUUCGUCCACCAUAGACAUUUGAAGUUAA